CCCGCCCGAAGCGGUGCCCGUGGCGGUGCCGGGCCCCCGCCUGCCCCGUCCCCGCCCGCGGUGGGUGCCGCCGGGGAGCGGGGCUGCCGCGGUCGCCGGAGCACCCCGUCCAUGCGAGUGCCCUCUCCGCUCAGCAGCAUGCUUUACUUCCAGAUGGUGAUCAUGGCAGGGACCGUGAUGCUGGCUUACUACUUCGAGUACACCGACACCUUCGCCGUCAACGUGCAGGGCUUCUUCUGCUACGAGGGCGCGUACCGCAAACCCUACCCGGGCCCGGAGGACAGUAGCGCCGUGCCCCCGGUGCUCCUCUACUCGCUGACGGCGGGAGUGCCCGUGCUGGUGAUUAUCGUUGGAGAAACUGCAGUGUUUUGUCUACAGUUAGCUACAAAGGAUUUUGAAAACCAAGAAAAAACAAUAUUAACUGGAGACUGUUGUUAUAUAAAUCCACUGGUGCGCAGAACCAUCAGAUUCCUUGGAAUUUACGCAUUUGGACUAUUUGCUACGGACAUCUUUGUAAACGCUGGACAAGUAGUAACAGGGAAUCUCGCACCACAUUUUCUUGCACUUUGUAAACCCAACUAUACAGCACUUGGAUGUAAACAGUAUACACAAUUCAUCAGUAGUGCACAAGCCUGUACGGGAAACCCAGACCUUAUCAUGAAAGCCAGAAAGACAUUCCCAUCCAAAGAAGCAGCACUAAGCGUAUAUGCAGCUAUGUAUCUGGCUAUGUAUAUCACCAGCACAGUAAAAGCCAGAGGAACAAGGCUUGCAAAACCUGUUCUGUGUUUGGGCUUAAUGUGCUUAGCUUUCCUUACUGGAAUCAACAGAGUAGCAGAGUAUCGAAAUCACUGGUCAGAUGUAAUAGCAGGAUUUGUAAUUGGAAUAUCUAUAGCAGUAUUUUUGGUUGUUUGUGUGGUAAAUAACUUCAGAGGACGUCAGCCAGAACAUGAACGUUCUCAUAUGGAUAAUCUGGCCCAGAUGCCCAUGAUCAGCAUACCCCGAGUAGAAAGCCCUUUAGAAAAGGAAUUCCCACAGUUCCCUUCCCUUAGAGGUGGUUCUGGUGAAAUUGAAAAGCAGGAGGGGAAGAGCUGUAUUGCAGAAGUGUCCGCUGCCUGUUGGUGAAGUUCCAGAUCAUGGUUGGCUCAGGCCAAGCUCCAGACCCUGCUUUGAUUGAUUUGGAGAAGAGGCAAGUUUUUACCUCUCCCAGAGCUGCAGUGGCUCCACUGCCCUGGAGCUUGGGCAUUCAUUCUGGACCUGAAAAACUUUCAGUAGGAAGAGUUUGUCCAAAUGAAAUUCUUUGUCAGAUUAAGAGAAGUCGGUACUCCCAUGGCAUUGGACACUAUGCUGCUGCUUUUUAUUUGCUGCCUGAUGACCUGCCUUCCCAGCAUACUUAAGGGUGUUUAAGAGCGGUAUACCAGAUAUGAUGGAUGGCCCUUUCCAAAGAAAACUUCUUAUGUGGAGCUACUCAAAGAAAAUCACCAGAUUACACAAGACAACGGGCAAAUCCCAAGGAUCAUUCCUCCCUUUCAGCCUCCUUGUAUCCUCCUGAUUGAGACGUCUCCUUUCUGAAACCCACACUCAGCUGCUCAGGCUUUGAAUUAGACCUCAAAUGUAGGCCACCAGAUGUGAAUCCAGUUCCUCCUCUUCUGUGCAUCUCUCCUCUCAUCCCCACACCACUCUGCACUCAUGGACCAUUAGCAAGGCUUCAAACACAGCUUUUGCAUUAGCUGUGAGGAGGACCCAGGAGAGCUGCAGCUUGCCAUGUCACUCCUGUUCUGCAGCUGGAGCUGAGAUACACAGCCAUUCUCUCUGCUACUGGGCCUAUCGUCUCCCUGUGGUAGCGGUGGAACUGGGAAGUUCUGCUGGUUUGCUUGUAAUUGGAGGUGACUUCCAGGAUCCCACUGCUGUGCACAGGAUCUGCAGGUGUGGAGUGGCAGUCAUGGCACUGAUAUGCUCCAACCAGCCUGUGAACAUGAAAGAACAGGCCACGGAACUUCGAAUUUCUUCCACGGUGUAGCCAUGAUGUGAUGUGGACAGGCAGACUGUUCUACAUCCCCACCUGGAUACGCAGUUUAAACAUCACCCUCUAAAGCCCCAAAGAAACUGUGUGUUGUAUCAAGGCAAGGGUUGGACCUAGGGUCUAAAGACAGCGUUAUGCCACACUUCUUCAUCUCAACUAGAAAGGUUUAAGAUCUACUUUUCCACAGCUGAUAAGAAAUAUAAAUACCAUCUUCUUCAGCUGACAUGAGAGCAGAAAUCAAAGAAUGCCCUGGUCUCUGAACUACAAAUCCACCUAGUGUGUUCCUGAUUUAUGAGGUGUACAUUGUUACAAUUUAUCCUACCAAUUAAAUAUGGUCCUGAAUCCAUUUUCUUACACUGAUCUCACUGAGGCAGCUAGUGCGACAAAUUAAAUUUUACAUCAGUGGUUCCUGCAGGACAGCACGAUGUUCAACAGACGUCAUACAGCUGGCCAGAAGGUGUAAGCUAGACACUGCCAGGGCAGAGCACUAAUGGACACGAACAGGGCGACUUGUAGCCAAAGGAACUUGGUCCAAAAGCCGAACUACCCGCUGAAGAAAACGGAGUGCAUGCACCUUGUCUGAGGACUCCAUGAGAUUAUACCAGAAGUACUUUCUGAAAAGGCCAUGUCCUGCCAGGCAAUGUCCCUUCCCUACGGUGAACAGCAGUAAGACCAGCUGCUAUACAAGUUGUAUGAAAUUGCCACUCAUCACUGAGUCACUCUGUGCAAAUGCAGUCGUUUUUAGCAAGUUGCCAACAAACCAUACAAAUGGGAAGUACUGAUAAAAGGGAUGCAAUGUUGAAAAGUUGAUCUAACUAGCUGUGUACAAAUAACUUAAGCAGUGACCUGUAACACUCCUUUUUGCCAAAACAAAUUCUUAAUAUAUAUUGUGCUUUCACAUACAACGCAACUAAUAGACCUGUCUAUGAUACAGCCACUGUGAGACCUCACUUAGCAAUUAAUUGUCCAGUGCAUAGACAGAUAUAUCUUAAAGAUAGGCUGAGACUAGAAAUAUUUAAGUAAAGGUUUGCUGGAAGAUGGUCUUUGCUUAUUCCUAUAAAUGUGAAAUUAGUGUUAUAUAACAUGUUAAUUUAUUUCCAAGAGAAACUGUAUUUCAGUCACCUUUUAUGUGACAUUCCCUAUAAACCUGGGGGAGCAAAGAGCAGAUGUGGUUCUCCUGGCAGCCAGCGAUCUCUCUGACCCCUGCUGGCUGGUUCCUGGCUGCAGCGAUGCCCCUGAACAUCCCUGCUACCCUGGGCCAGGGAAACCGUGCGAGCCCCCACGCUCCCUCCAACUCCACUCUCCGUGUUGCCCAGAGGCUGCCCCCUCCCCACCUUUCAGGUUUACAGAUUUGGCCUGCAUCCACCAAGCCCUUCAUGACGGUGCUGUGCCCGCGUGGGGCAGGCAGGACAGCCAGGAGACAAACCUGGGGCUCGGGCCCCAUGGCUGGAGCAGCUGGGGAGACACGGUGGGCUGGGCGAGGAGCAGGCAGCACGGAAAUACGAUGGCAUUGCUGGUAGCUGCAGCUGGCAGAGGACCAAGACCUGUCCUCUGUGCCCCAGCUCCGAGCAUCGGGGGCUUCUCUGCCUCCUCGCAUUUUGUAAGAGCUUUAAACUUUAUCCCUAAACUAAGGACAGGAGAAGCAGCUGAGGAAGCAGAGAAACAAAAACAGAUGAGAGAGCAAAAAGGCAGUAAAAUUUAAGUAAACAGAAUUUCUGCUUCAGGAGAAAAAAUUUUAAAAAAUAGGUGUAUUUACUGACUGUCCCACUGCAGUACACAGAGGCAAAUUAUGAAAUACACUGUAGACAUCACAGAUUUAGAUAGUGGUAAUAUAUUCUUAUUUAUUCAUUUAAUUGACAAGAAAUCAAAUGAAAAUAUGCACUUCAGCUGCCAAAACCUACCUAAACAGCUCAUCUUUACAUGAAAGCUAAUUACAACAACCCUAAUAAAAAAUGUCUGAAAUGUCAAGGACUUUCUCCAUCGAUAUACUAGAAAGUUGCAGUAAUUAUUAUCUAGUCAUUUUUAUAUAUUAUUUACACUGUAUAAUGCUUGGUGUUAACACUGGGCUAAAAGGACAUUAUUUAGGCUGUAGAGCUCAACUAUUAAAAAUUUUUAAAAAUGCCAGUUCUGCUCUCCACCAUAGCUCUAAGCUGCAUAGGUGGUAAUGGAGGAGUGCAGAAAAGGUGUCCCAGCAUUGGUGCCGACAUUGCACAAGAGUAGGCUGAGGCCAGAAGUGAGCCAGUGGCAACAGUGGGCAGGCCAGCACUGAGGCCGUGCAAAUUUAUCCCAAAAUUCCUUUAAGUCAUCCCACUGAACUUCACUGGUGGCUUUCAGCAUGCCUGCUUCCAUGAGUUACUACAGGUAUGGUCUCACUGCACUAGAAUGAAGAUGUCCGACUGCUAGUAAGAAAAAAAAAAUCCUAAAAAAUAACCAAAUAAGACAAAAACUUGAAGGAACAGGAUUGAGAGCUUUUCAUUUUAAAUAUGUCUAAUGGCUUUGCUCAUUCUACCUCCUUUUUCUCUCCUAUGUCAACAGAGCAGCAGCUAUGAGAGCACUGCAGCAAGUCUUACUUUCUCUUAACUCCCAAUGGGGAAGUAAAGAGAAAUGUUAAAAAUAAACCACAGCACUGCCUGUAUUGACAAAACAUGAUCCAUGGAUGCCCAUUAUAACCAGUCCUUUGCUACAGCUGCCUAUCCACUGAUGUGUUGCAUGUUUCUCAUGGUUGCCUCUGCCUAGCAUGCACAGCUGCAAAGAACAAGCUUUUUCAGAGAAAGUAUGGGACAUACAGAGACACCAUACAGUUACAGAGCAUGGCUCCACAGAACACGCUUUCUUCAGGGGAUUCUUCUCUUGCAGUUAGAGUAAGGCCUAGAAUAUUUCAGCAUUCUGUACA